rnacentral:rRNA from 1 species
AGAGUUUGAUCCUGGCUCAGGAUGAACGCUGGCGGCGUGCCUAACACAUGCAAGUCGAACGAAGCACAUUGGAUUGAUUCUUCGGAAGAAAGAGAAUGUGACUGAGUGGCGGACGGGUGAGUAACGCGUGGGUAACCUGCCUCAUACAGGGGGAUAACAGUUAGAAAUGACUGCUAAUACCGCAUAAGACCACGGAGUCGCAUGACUCAGUGGGAAAAACUCCGGUGGUAUGAGAUGGACCCGCGUCUGAUUAGGUAGUUGGUGGGGUAACGGCCUACCAAGCCGACGAUCAGUAGCCGACCUGAGAGGGUGACCGGCCACAUUGGGACUGAGACACGGCCCAAACUCCUACGGGAGGCAGCAGUGGGGAAUAUUGCACAAUGGGGGAAACCCUGAUGCAGCGACGCCGCGUGAGCGAAGAAGUAUUUCGGUAUGUAAAGCUCUAUCAGCAGGGAAGAAAAUGACGGUACCUGACUAAGAAGCACCGGCUAAAUACGUGCCAGCAGCCGCGGUAAUACGUAUGGUGCAAGCGUUAUCCGGAUUUACUGGGUGUAAAGGGAGCGUAGACGGCUGUGUAAGUCUGAAGUGAAAGCCCGGGGCUCAACCCCGGGACUGCUUUGGAAACUAUGCAGCUAGAGUGUCGGAGAGGUAAGUGGAAUUCCCAGUGUAGCGGUGAAAUGCGUAGAUAUUGGGAGGAACACCAGUGGCGAAGGCGGCUUACUGGACGAUGACUGACGUUGAGGCUCGAAAGCGUGGGGAGCAAACAGGAUUAGAUACCCUGGUAGUCCACGCCGUAAACGAUGACUACUAGGUGUCGGGUGUCACAGGCAUUCGGUGCCGCAGCAACGCCAUAAGUAGUCCA